UACGUAGGGACCAAGCGUUGUUCGGAUUUACUGGGCGUAAAGGGCGCGUAGGCGGCGUGUUAAGUCAGCUGUGAAAUCUCCAAGCUUAACUUGGAACGGUCAGCUGAUACUGAUGUGCUAGAGUGCAGAAGGGGCAACCGGAAUUCUUGGUGUAGCGGUGAAAUGCGUAGAUAUCAAGAGGAACACCUGAGGUGAAGACGGGUUGCUGGGCUGGCACUGACGCUGAGGCGCGAAAGCGUGGGGAGCAAACAGG
rnacentral:rRNA from 1 species